GCCCGAGUGGCGGAACUGGUAGACGCGUUGGUCUCAAAAACCAAUGGGCAUUUGCCUUUGCCGGUUCGAUUCCGGCCUCGGGUA
rnacentral:tRNA from 1 species